rnacentral:rRNA from 1 species
AACGAACGCUGGCGGCAGGCCUAACACAUGCAAGUCGAACGCACCGCAAGGUGAGUGGCGCACGUGUGAGUAACACGUGGGAAUGUAUCCUUUGGUUCGGAAUAACGUCUGGAAACGGACGCUAAUACCGGAUGAGCCCUUAGGGGGAAAGAUUUAUCGCCGAAGGAGCAGCCCGCGUCUGAUUGGGUAGUUGGUGGGGUAAAGGCCUACCAAGCCGACGAUCAGUAGCUGGUCUGAGAGGAUGAUCAGCCACACUGGGACUGAGACACGGCCAAGACUCCUACGGGAGGCAGCAAUGGGGAAUAUUGGACGAUGGGCGCAAGCCUGAUCCAGCCAUGCCGCGUGAGUGAUGAAGGCCUUCGGGUUGUAAAGCUCUUUCGCACACGACGAUGAUGACGGUAGUGUGAGAAGAAGCCCCGGCUAACUUCGUGCCAGCAGCCGCGGUAACAC